UACAGAGGGGGCAAGCGUUGUUCGGAAUUACUGGGCGUAAAGGGCGCGUAGGCGGCCUGUUAAGUCGAACGUGAAAUCCCCGGGCUCAACCCGGGAACUGCGUCCGAUACUGGCAGGCUGAAUCCGGGAGAGGGAUGCGGAAUUCCAGGUGUAGCGGUGAAAUGCGUAGAUAUCUGGAGGAACACCGGUGGCGAAGGCGGCAUCCUGGACCGGCAUUGACG
rnacentral:rRNA from 1 species